rnacentral:snoRNA from 1 species
AUGCAGGUACUGUUACAAUAUAGCUGAAGUGUUUUUAUUGUAGUUUUCUCUGCUUAAAGCACUUGAUAUAUAACUAUCUCUGUCUGACCGGGCAUGGUGGCUCAGCCUGUAAUCC